rnacentral:lncRNA from 1 species
ACAGGUGCCUUUAAGACAAGGAAUGAAAUAUUGAGAUCAAGAGGAUCGUUCACGAAAUAUUACUCCAUCACGGAAAGCAUACGAUUUUUACAUCUUUUUGUAUGAUUCAGCAGGUAUGUUACCUUAACCGUCAGUAAACCUAAUUUUUUUUUGUAAAUUAGUGAAAACAGAGACAUAUAUACACAUAUGUCUCUGGUGAAAAGAUGCAUGCAUGCAGUUAGAAUCCGUGAAUCUGGUUUAUAUAACUUUCAUGUGGGGUAAUAAAUCACUGGAAUAAUACCUAAGUGUUUGAUUGAAUAUGCACUGAGCUUAAAUUUCAGCUAUCGGUCGCGGUGGUCCCACAAUAGCGUGCUCACGUCUAUUGCGUGAUUCUUAAUCAAGUUAAUGUGUUGUAGAGCGAAUUGUUAUCAUGUUGCAGUGUAAGGUAGCACGUUGAAAAUAAGCUACUUAAGUUAGGAUUUGUUCCGAACGGACGAAUUUACUACAUGUCAUUCGAUAAAUAACUAUUACGAUUGGAUAUGUUAACUUAUUGAAGGCCGUACGGUGACCUAUAGUUGUUAAUCUCUGUGUCAUUUUGGUCUCUUGUGGAGAGUUGUCUCAUUGGCAAUCAUAUUACAUAUGUACAACUUCUUUUUUUUUUUAUAUUAAGUGGUUUUAUGCAUACGGACCCUGCUAUCAAAUACAUAAUCCUAAGAUAUUCCUAUGGCUUUAACAUUCUAUCAACCUGAAUAUAUAUAUAUACUAAACAUCCACCGAGCAAUCAAUAGAUUAACUUUGAAAUGCCAAUGUAUGAACUCAAAUAAUCAUUAAGCAUGUUAAAAAAAAAUAUGAAAAACACAACUGAAAACGAAAAUGAACACACUCUUGAUAUUAUUUUAUGUAUCUUUUUUUAAUUAAAAAAGCGCUCCGCAUGUCCAAAAAUUAUGAAGUGUUUUUUCUUCAUAAUUCUUUUCAAUGAAAUGAUAUUCAAGUUAUAGUUUAGAAUAAAACACGAAUUGUAUGUAUGAAAAAAAACCUUUGUCGUUCUGAAUUUGUCAAACCAUAUUGACGAACAAAGUAUAUGGGGAGGGGGGAGGGGCUUUACAAGUUAGGCCUACAGUUGUUAUUCUUUAAUAAAAAGCUAUUUUAUUAUUGGUAUCAUACUAUUACUCUUAAGUAACAUUGAUACCUAUUUAUUAUUUCAGUUGCUAAUCUUUGUCAUUUUAAUCUACUUUGCAGAAGCUGUUUAGAGCUCGGUUUAGAGUAGUUUUGUAAUUAUAUAAAACAGAUUUAAAAAGUAGAAGAUUUCUUGUAAGUAUAUAUAUUAACACAUCUUUAGGUAAGUAUAGGCAUAGCAAUUAUAACAUUUUGUUUUCAGGUUAAGAGGUAAGAUAGCUUCAUUGUACUAACAUUGUCUGUUAAAUAUUUACUUAUUUAUAUCAAUUCAUAGUGUACAGUAUGUAGUGCAUGACAGGAUGCAUAGUUUGUGUUGAAUUGUAAACACGUUACAAAGUACACACCGUAUUAUACACACCCUAUUACCAGAUAUCGCUACUGCCGAUUCAACACAAAUUAAUGUCUUUUACAUGCGAUUUUAAAAUUCCUUGUAUUACAAUUUGAAAUGGAGAACAAAAUCUACUGUUCACCAUUAAAUUAUGUUGAAAAACAAUUGGGACAAAAGUCAUAUAAUUUCAGCCAAAAUGAUAACUGGUAAUAUGAGUGAGCUACUGAGUUGUUAUGUUUUAAUAGAAAUAACAAUUUUGCAGAAAACAUGCUUCGCCUAUAACAUAUGCAUUAGAAAGCCUUUUAUUCUAUAUUUCAUCUAUAUUUCAUUCAAUUCUUUUUCCAAAAUAGAAAAAAAGUCUUUUUAUUUCAGGACUGGGGUCUGAUUAGUUUCCAUCAUAAAUGACUGGUUUCUACAUAUACUUGAAUUGCACGACAACAGAAGUGGACCAAUAAAGGCAUGGAUGGGUAUUCUACUCCAUUUCAAAAUUGCUGAAAAUGCUUGAAGAAAGCAUGACAGCAUUACAAAUGCAGUGGGUGCAAUUGCAAGACUGUUGGUUAACAACAAUAGAUCCAAUAACUCAAACAAUUACCUUGAAGGUAGGAUGUUUUUACUUUCAACUGUGUACACUGUACCCUUGUUGUGUUAACCUAUCGCUACACCAACGGGUUGGAUCUUAAGAUGUAUUUGCGGACUAGUUAAUCAUUUCUGAUUCAAUCAUUUAUCUGAUAAUAUCACAUGGUUAUAGAUUAUCAGAUGAUAUGUAAAAUUACUUUGAUCUUCGACCAUAUUUUAAAGUUGUUCAAAAUCAGUAACAAAACAAAGACUAUGUUUGUGCUUCUGAACUUGCAGUCAUCAGUUACACUCAAACUUUUCAAAACUAUAGAUGUAUAGAUAUACGAAGACAAAAAAACUUACAUGAUAUGAAAAGGGGGGGAUAAACUUCAAAAGAAGGUCGGUUUAGUGUCAUAUGCAAUCGUUUUAUUUUACAAUGUUUUGAUUACAAAGCUUACACUAUAAAUCAUGAUCAAUCACGAAACAUCGACAACAGAACAUACCUCAAAGACUUCCAUUGUAUCCGCAAUACUUAAAAAAACGGGAUUCAUCAUAGAAAUAAAAGAUCUAUUACAGCACACAGACAAUCUUUGCUAAGUGUUGAUAAAGUACGAUUUUGAUUUGAGGAACACACAAUAAGGAAAACAUCCACAGGUAACUCAUAAUAUGUUUAUUGGACAAUAUCACUGUAAAACAAGAAGUAAUUGUAACAGGAUGCUGUUACGAAGUCUCCCAAACAAAGCUCCCAUAUUCUUUUGAUUUGUUUAAUUGUCCCAUACAAGAAUAUAUAUGGUUUAGGGGUGGGGAUCUUGACCUUUUACAAGUUUUUAAACAAGAGGGGGUGGGGUGAACCCCUAGGGACUUCCCUUUUAUUUCAUUUCAUUUGUUUUAUUGUCCCCUACAAGAAUAUAUAUGGUUUAGGGGUGGGGAUCUGGAAGGUUUACAAGAAAAUAGAACAUUUCUUCAAUUGAACGGGGUGGGGGUAACCCCAAUGGACUCUCUCUAUAUUUCAUUUGAUGUGUGUUAUUGUUCCAUACAAGAAUAUAUAUGAUUUAGGGGUGGGGAUAUGGACUGUUUACAAGUUUUCAAACAAGAGGGGGUGGGGUGACCCCCUAGGGACUUCCCUUUUUAUUUUUUUUUUCUAUUUGUUUUUAUUGUCCCCUACAAGAAUAUAUAUGGUUUAGGGGUGGGGAUUGGGACCGUUUACAAGAUAAUAGCAUAUUCUCAAAUUUAAGGGGGUGGGAAUGACCCCCAGGGAUUCCCCCUUUAUUUCAUGUGAUUUGUUUUAUUGUCCUAUGAUCAUUUCUGAAGACUGUGUGUGUUUAUCACUUAAAGCUUUAAAGUUAUAUUCAUUUGAAAAUUUUCGAAAAUAAAAUCCCAUAGGGUUCAAUAUUAAACCCCGCCAUUCUUUGCCCCCCCCCCCCCAAAACACCCCUUAAUAGACCCUAAUGCACACACGAACGAUUGAUGGCUCACCUAGGCAUAUUAGUCUAACAUUUUAUGAAACCCUAAGUAAAUCUGAAAAGUGGAAGAAGAAGAAUAAUAAAAAUAAUAAGAACUGAGCAAAAACAAUAAGUCUCCAAACUUUGUUUGGGAGACUUAAUAAAGAAACAAAUCCACAUAAGUGCACAGUUACGAGCAAGCAAAGGGAGACAAACAUAUAACAUUGGUUUACAGCUAUACUUUUCAACAAGCAUGGUUUGAAUAUCAUAAACAUCUUUAUUACUAUUAGUUAAUACUCUGUUAUGCUAUUGCAAUGAAUUCAGUAUUGCAUCUUUUGCAGAAUGUAUAGAGGAUGUUUAAAUAGAUAAAAAGAUUUAAAAAGUAGAAGACUUCUUGUAAGUAUAAAUCAUUUGACGCGAGGUAAGUAUAAAAACAUAACAAUUAUAACCAUAUUUCAGUCCUGAGGUAAGUUCGCUCUGAACGCUUUCUAGUAAUAACUUGUCUGCAGAAUACAUGUAUUAUGCGAACUAAUGCAAUGCAUUCAUUGUGCUGUACAUUUAGAAGUUAAUGUUAAUAAGAUUAA